rnacentral:rRNA from 1 species
GACGAACGCUGGCGGCGUGCUUAACACAUGCAAGUCGAACGGAAAGGCCCUGCUUUUGUGGGGUGCUCGAGUGGCGAACGGGUGAGUAACACGUGAGUAACCUGCCCUUGACUUUGGGAUAACUUCAGGAAACUGGGGCUAAUACCGGAUAGGAGCUCCUGCUGCAUGGUGGGGGUUGGAAAGUUUCGGCGGUUGGGGAUGGACUCGCGGCUUAUCAGCUUGUUGGUGGGGUAGUGGCUUACCAAGGCUUUGACGGGUAGCCGGCCUGAGAGGGUGACCGGCCACAUUGGGACUGAGAUACGGCCCAGACUCCAACGGGAGGCAGCAGUGGAGAAUAUUGCACAAUGGGCGGAAGCCUGAUGCGGCAACGCCGCGUGCGGGAUGACGGCCUUCGGGUUGUAAACCGCUUUCGCCUGUGACGAAGCGUGAGUGACGGUAAUGGGUAAAGAAGCACCGGCUAACUACGUG